rnacentral:rRNA from 1 species
UGGGGAAGUUUGGACAAUGGGGGAAACCCUGAUCCAGCCAUCCCGCGUGUGCGAUGAAGGCCUUCGGGUUGUAAAGCACUUUUGGCAGGAAAGAAACGUCAUGGGUUAAUACCCCGUGAAACUGACGGUACCUGCAGAAUAAGCACCGGCUAACUACGUGCCAGCAGCCGCGGUAAUACGUAGGGUGCAAGCGUUAAUCGGAAUUACUGGGCGUAAAGCGUGCGCAGGCGGUUCGGAAAGAAAGAUGUGAAAUCCCAGAGCUCAACUUGGGAACUGCAUUUUUAACUACCGGGCUAGAGUGUGUCAGAGGGAGGUGGAAUUCCGCGUGUAGCAGUGAAAUGCGUAGAUAUGCGGCGGAACACCGAUGGCGAAUGCAGCCUCCUGGGAUAACACUGACGCUCAUGCACGAAAGCGUGGGGAGCAAACAGG